AUGAACGCUAGCGACAGGCUUAACACAUGCAAGUCGAGGGGCAGCGGGGUGUAGCAAUACACCGCCGGCGACCGGCGCACGGGUGAGUAACGCGUAUGCAACUUGCCUAUCAGAGGGGGAUAACCCGGCGAAAGUCGGACUAAUACCGCAUGAAGCAGGGGCCCCGCAUGGGGAUAUUUGCUAAAGAUUCAUCGCUGAUAGAUAGGCAUGCGUUCCAUUAGGCAGUUGGCGGGGUAACGGCCCACCAAACCGACGAUGGAUAGGGGUUCUGAGAGGAAGGUCCCCCACAUUGGUACUGAGACACGGACCAAACUCCUACGGGAGGCAGCAGUGAGGAAUAUUGGUCAAUGGGCGCGAGCCUGAACCAGCCAAGUCGCGUGAGGGAUGAAGGUUCUAUGGAUCGUAAACCUCUUUUAUAAGGGAAUAAAGUGCGGGACGUGUCCCGUUUUGUAUGUACCUUAUGAAUAAGGAUCGGCUAACUCCGUGCCAGCAGCCGCGGUAAUACGGAGGAUCCGAGCGUUAUCCGGAUUUAUUGGGUUUAAAGGGUGCGUAGGCGGCCUUUUAAGUCAGCGGUGAAAGUCUGUGGCUCAACCAUAGAAUUGCCGUUGAAACUGGGGGGCUUGAGUAUGUUUGAGGCAGGCGGAAUGCGUGGUGUAGCGGUGAAAUGCUUAGAUAUCACGCAGAACCCCGAUUGCGAAGGCAGCCUGCCAAGCCAUGACUGACGCUGAUGCACGAAAGCGUGGGGAUCAAACAGGAUUAGAUACCCUGGUAGUCCACGCAGUAAACGAUGAUCACUAGCUGUUUGCGAUACAGUGUAAGCGGCACAGCGAAAGCGUUAAGUGAUCCACCUGGGGAGUACGCCGGCAACGGUGAAACUCAAAGGAAUUGACGGGGGCCCGCACAAGCGGAGGAACAUGUGGUUUAAUUCGAUGAUACGCGAGGAACCUUACCCGGGUUUGAACGCAUUCGGACCGAGGUGGAAACACCCUUUCUAGCAAUAGCCGUUUGCGAGGUGCUGCAUGGUUGUCGUCAGCUCGUGCCGUGAGGUGUCGGCUUAAGUGCCAUAACGAGCGCAACCCUUGCCACUAGUUACUAACAGGUGAUGCUGAGGACUCUGGUGGGACUGCCAGCGUAAGCUGCGAGGAAGGCGGGGAUGACGUCAAAUCAGCACGGCCCUUACAUCCGGGGCGACACACGUGUUACAAUGGCGUGGACAAAGGGAGGCCACCUGGCGACAGGGAGCGAAUCCCCAAACCACGUCUCAGUUCGGAUCGGAGUCUGCAACCCGACUCCGUGAAGCUGGAUUCGCUAGUAAUCGCGCAUCAGCCAUGGCGCGGUGAAUACGUUCCCGGGCCUUGUACACACCGCCCGUCAAGCCAUGGGAGCCGGGGGUACCUGAAGUCCGUAACCGAAAGGAUCGGCCUAGGGUAAAACUGGUGACUGGGGCU
rnacentral:rRNA from 1 species